CAGAGCACUACGGGGAAGCAGUACUAAAACAAGCGCGAGGCAGGCGUUGCCGGCACGUAAUCGACGUGCCGGCAAUGGCCACCGGCAGUACGCGAGGCCAAUAGACGAAGAACGACGAGGCACGCUUCGAGCGUGGUAGCAAUUGGGCGCUCCGCCGUCCGGCCGUGGUUAGUUUGACGGUUGGCGGCGGACGUGUUUUUUUG
rnacentral:ncRNA from 1 species